AUGGUGCACAUGAACAAAAGGGACAGGGAAGAGCACAUCUAUACUGCAUUCCAAUACUUCGACCAGGAUAGCAGUGGGUACAUUACAGAAGAAGAGAUGGAGCAAGCCUUACAGGAGCUGAAGUUGUACGGUCCGAGAAAUACAAGCAUGCCAUCGCUAAAGCUGAUUUUCACGAUGUGGGGGUCAUUCAUUAAGUUUCGGUGUAAGCAAGGUGUGAUGAGGUUUUCCUGCAAAGUUUACAAGGAUACAUAA
rnacentral:rRNA from 1 species